UCAUUUAUGUUUUAUGGAAAGAAUACUCUUAAGUCUGAACUGGCCACAUGAACAAUCCAGUCUUCCUUUAUCACCGAUAAUAGUGUCGAUGUGUAUCUGAACCAACACGAGAAUACUGAACCGAAAAAGUUCAAUGAUUUUCUGCGCACUCUAUGUAUAUUCUGCCAGGAGAAAGCCCUCAGCAGUUUCUGUGAAUUUCUUGCAUCCAAAGAGCUCACCUUGAUUUCAAAGACAGAAGCUAUAGACAGUGAAGUUAGGGAUGAUGAAGCUAGGAAUUUUCUGGUCAAAUCAGAGCCAAAGAUGGAAUGAGUGCUU